UUUCUACAGUCAGGGCCUCCCCACAGCCCGCCCUUCCAUAGACGGAGCUGCUUUUUCUUUUUUUUUUUUCUCUCUCUCUCCUUUUUUUUCCACUCACUACUAGCUGGAUUUUAACCCUCUGCUUCCAACUAGCUGCACAGCAGCAGUUCUGCAAAACCUGGCAACAAGUUGAUAUUCCAGGGGCCUUUUCUCUGACUUUUGCCGCAUAGAUUGUUUUUUUGCGUCCGUCUUCGGAUUUUCUCGCCCUUUUGCUGUUGAAUUUCCUUUUUUUUUUUUUUUUACUUAAAAAGAACAAAAUAUUACAACUUUGUUGGGGAUUUUUCCCCCCUCCUCUUCUCUUACGGUGUUCGUGUCGAAUCCGUUCGCGUCUUCUGGUUUUCUUUUGGAUGGAUUUUUAACAUUUUUUUUAUUUUUUACCUUUUUCCUUUUCGGCGGCCGGGUGCGUGGGGACGAGGGGGCAAGGAGGGGGGCACGAGGGAUGAAAUUUCUCCGCUGGAUGGGAGAGCCGGGGCGCCAUUUCGGGUAACCUGCUUGCGGUACGCUUGCGGUCUGGAUGACCACACAGUGGAUGGCAGCGAGGAGAACGCGGCCUGUGUGGCCGGAAGGCGGCUGUUGCACGUUUCAGUGUUUCUAAACACCCGUCCGCCAUCGACACUUUUGACCCGCAUGAACUUCCGUACCCUGUUUGUUUUUUCGCUCCGCUUUUUGCCCCCCUCUUGUUUCCUUCCCGUGUCUUGCCGUUCGUCUCUCCCCCUCUCUCUCUCCCUCUCUCUCUCGCUCUCUCCCCGCUUCACGAUGACUGAAAGGGAACGAGUGGAGAGCUGAGCCGAAGCGCUUUCUGGGACAGGUGCCAACUCCAGACAAAAGAAAAUUUUAAACUCAGCAGAGGGAAAAUGUUCCGAGUCGGAAAACAAUCUUAGAAUAGUUGCACCGGAAUAUCUGGUGUUUGCACGUUGCGCCCUUUGCAUGUACAAAUUGUUCCCCUGUGAUUGUCUGUUUCUGUGUGUGUGUGUUGAAACUAAAUGUUUCAGCAGCAAACUAAACACUUUGACACUUUUCUGGUUCGGAGUGAAAGCAUCUGAUUCGGGGCGUGAUGAGGGGAGCGCGGCGUACGGAAAAGCUGCAUUAUUCACGCCGAGGCUGGGAUUUGGAGCGCCCGUGCCAUUUGCAUGCAUCAGACAUGCCGUGUGCCUGUUUGCUAACAUUCCUCACUGAAAGACUUGUUAACCGGGGCGGACAGGGCCGAGCCGGAGCCCCGCGGACCACCGCGUGGCGGCCUCUCGUUGUGUCGGGCCCUCGCGCGGCCGGCCCAGACCGGACCGGACCGUCCGCUGGAGAGGAGACGGGCUAGCUGUCGCUAAGGUGGGUGGAGGGGUGGCAGCCGAGGCUGGAAGGUGGGACUGACCCCGAGAGCUGCAGCCGGAACUGAAGGCUGAGCUGGAAAUGGGGCCGUCUGAUGGAAUGGGCAGAGGAGGUACGGAUCUACGACGAGGAGCGCUGGCCGGAAAUUCAUCCCCAGAACAAACAUUCGGCUCCUCGCUCUCUGGAGUCUGUUGUGGGAUGGCGUUCUAGCCUCUGGCGCUAAUAUUUGGCCAACAAGUGACGUUGUGGGAAGUCAAAGGCAGCAUUAUGAAGACUACCUGAUGUGCUGCUGACACCGUGACGGGGCGGGAGGCCAGCCGGCCCGUUCGCCCCCGUCCCCGCUCCUCGCCGCGCGUUACGGAGCAGGUGAGAAGCAUUAACAGAGGCAGCAGCUGCGGCCCUGUGCUCCACACACGUGGACUAGGAUGAGCGCUUUGUUGUGCUCAGCCACUCUCGGUAAUGUUCAGGCUCUUCUUGUCUUGGAAACAAAGAAAAGCAGCUCUAGGAGACCCUACAGAGCAUCGUGCAUGUUGCGCCGCUCCGACAACGCCUCGCCAACGUGUUCAAACCUCCUGAACGUUCACACCUUUUCGCCAUGUUACGAACGCAAACUUUAAUGUGUUUUUAUGAUGGCGACUCCGGAAACGAUGCAAAGAAAAGAUGCAUGACUUUUGGUUUUCUUUACAAAUAAAAAUCUGAAAAGUGUGGUGUGCAUUUGCGUUGAACCCCGUUUUCUGUGAUACUCUUAAAUACAAUUCAGUGCCACUUAGUAAAUAAAUGGAGCCCACCUGUGUGUGAUUUAAUCUCAGUGUAAAUGCAGCCAUUGUUGUUUGCAGUUGGCCACCUGCCCUGCAGGGGGCGUCGUGAAAACGUUGCAGUAGUGAGCUUAUUUUUGUAUCCAAAGUGGUAAAUUAAUCCUGCAGAUCUCCCUGACCUCACCAUCCCCACUGUGAAACAUGGCAGUGGCAGCAUGAUGCUGUGGGGACACUUGUCUUCAGCAACAACAAGGAAGUUGGUCAAAGUUCCUGCUACGUUAGACGGAACUACAACGGAAUGAUUCACAUUAUUGCAUAUUCAAUGUGAAUGGCCUAGUCAAAGGCCAGACCUAAAACCAUAUGAGAAUCUGUCACAAGACUUUAAAAUUGCUCUCCAUCCAACCUGGACUGAGGUUUUACUUCACAACUAUGCACGACUCUGCCUCCCCCGCAGCAUGAUACCCCCACUGCCGUGUUGGACAGUGGAAAAAGUUCGGUUUUGUUCUCAUUAAACCAGAGUUUCUUUUUCCACAUGUGGUUUGUGUACAAACAGCACUUCUUAUAGUUUCAUAUAUACAUAUAUGUAUUUAACCUUUGUUUCUACAGGUCGUCUCAUUGAGAUCCAAAAUCUCAUUUACAAGACGGACUUGUUUCAAUUAAACAAAACAAAUAAACUUGCAAUCACAGCAAAGUGAGCAAUUAAGAAUAAAAUAUCUAUUCAAAAUCAAUUUACAAACUAAUAAUUGUUAAUUUGGUAAAUAUUUAAAUGGACUUAGGCGAAUUUUAAGAGAAAAAAGUUUGAGAAGUAUCGGACUAAAGUCAUGCUAAAAUCACACCACUAUGUUUUUUAUUUGUAAAAAUCAUGAGUUAAUUUCCUUCAUUUUUCUUAAUUAUACGCUACUUUAUGUCGAUCUAUCACAAAAUAUCAUCAAAGUCCAUUGAGGUUUGUUUUUGCGACAUGACAGCGGGUAUGAAUAUAUUAAAACAUUCUCAAUCAUCUUGUGUUGAUUUGAUGUAAUUGUGAUUUAAAUCUGCUCCACCGACUUUUCAUACGUAAACUCAAAGUGGGACAAUCAGGAGGUAACGCUGAUUAAAUGUAACGCCACAUUGUUACACUUUUUGUGGUUAAACCUAUCAGUUCCAAUCACGCCCGCGGCAUGCAAGUUACCCACAGGUUGCAUUUGAAUGUGAAAAUAUCUUUGCCCGAGCAAUUUGUUUGGGAAAUGGGUGCCCCAGUCAGAUCAUUUGAAUUCCCCUUCAGCCUGAGCCAUGAACUCGAAGACCCAGUUGUCACAUUGUGCUCUCCACACACAGGCUCCUUUCACGGCGCGGCGUCCCAGAGGAGAGCGCUGCGCGUGUUUGUGUUUCUGUGAAUCAUAACUGCUGCUUUGCAUUCAGCGAGGUGUGUGUCGAAGCGGAUUACAGGCAUGAACUCAGGCGGGACCAGAGAGAGGAAGCUGUAUUUUUUUUUUGUUUUUUUAUUAUUAUUUUUUUUAUUUUUUAUUUUUUUUUUUACCUCAAGACUGUCCUUUGGGGUGAGGUAGUAGGUUGUAUAGUUUUAGGGGUCACACCCUUUCUGUCAGAUAAC